CAGUAGCCGCGGUAAUACGGAGGGUGCGAGCGUUAAUCGGAUUUACUGGGCGUAAAGCGUGCGUAGGCGGCUAAUUGAGUCGGAUGUGAAAUCCCCGAGCUUAACUUGGGAAUUGCAUUCGAUACUGGUUAGCUAGAGUGUGGGAGAGGAUGGUAGAAUUCCAGGUGUAGCGGUGAAAUGCGUAGAGAUUUGGAGGAAUACCGAUGGCGAAGGCAGCCAUCUGGCCUAACACUGACGCUGAGGUACGAAAGCAUGGGGAGCAAACAGGAUUAGAUACCCCGGUAGUCCCUGUCUCUUAUAC
rnacentral:rRNA from 1 species